UACGUAGGGUGCAAGCGUUAAUCGGAAUUACUGGGCGUAAAGCGUGCGCAGGCGGUAAUGUAAGACAAUUGUGAAAUCCCCCGGGCUCAACCUGGGAACUGCAUCUGUGACUGCAUUGCUGGAGUACGGUAGAGGGGGAUGGAAUUCCGCGUGUAGCAGUGAAAUGCGUAGAUAUGCGGAGGAACACCGAUGGCGAAGGCAAUCCCCUGGACCUGUACUGACGCUGAAUCGCGAAAGCUAGGGGAGCAAACGGG
rnacentral:rRNA from 1 species